ACGAAGGGGGCAAGCGUUGUCCGGAUUCAUUGGGCGUAAAGCGCGCGUAGGCGGACUAUUAAGUCAGGUGUGAAAGCUCGGGGCUCAACCCCGAGACUGCCUUUGAUACUGGUUGGCUUGAGUUCGAGAGAGGUGAGUGGAAUUCCGAGUGUAGAGGUGAAAUGCGUAGAUAUUAGGAGGAACACCAGUGGCGAAGGCGGCUCACUGGCUCGAUACUGACGCUGAGGUGCGAAAGCGUGGGGAGCAAACAG
rnacentral:rRNA from 1 species